CAAAAACUAAACAUCUGCCUCUGGCUUUUAGCAUUUUUAUUGUAUUAUUUUAUUUUAGAUGGUGCAGCAUGACCUUUUUCUGAAAUGAAAUGAACACAUCCAGAAUCUUGUCUUUAAUAGAACGCUCAAGAUGCAUUUUGUUAUAAAAGACCAUGGCUGUAAAUUUUCAGUAAGUGUUUUCAAAAUAUGGUUAUCCUAUUCUAGACUCUGAAAGCAUUCUGUUAUAUCCAUGGCCAUGGCUUUACAAACAUACCAAGUGGCAGAUCCCUGCAGGAGAAGCAGGAGAUGUAAAAUCAUAAAACACUACAUGCUAUUGUUCUGUAACUGUCCUGGAGAGCUGUGAGUGCUGCCUGCACUGACAUCAAUGCUGACAAAUUCCAAAGGGAUUUCUUUCAGGUUCUUUUGGCUGGAGGAUUUUUAAAUCUGGAAUGCUGAAACACUGCAGAGAGGGAAAAGGCCUUUAAAGGGAUUUAAAUGCCAGGAGUAGCUGUUACACCGACAAUACUACACAGGAAAGAAGACAAUGCCAUGGAUUUGGAUUCCAACGCAAUGGACCGUAGAACAAUUGAAGCACAGCUGUGAUGCAAGGGAAAAGUCAACUGAAGUUUACAGAAAUGCAUACAUAUUUCAGGCAAAACAACCAGCCUCUGCACUGCACAUAUCAGUUGUGUCAGAGACAGUGGUUGUGUCCAUUCCCUGGCACUGGUUAUGGCACCUAUGUCAGCAGCUGCAGCAACUGUCAGUCUUGUGCCCACCUCUAGUUACCCUGUUGUAAAAGCCAUACACUUAUAAGGGCGUUUUUCUUAAACAAUCAAAGCAAUCCUGUUGCAUAUUUUUGAUACAGUAAUCAGGAAGAAAUAUAGUUAAUUCUAUAAAGGAAAGUUGUAUUUCUUUUUUUCUUCUUCCUCUGUUUUCUAUUUCUAGAGCACAUCGCAGCAUGAAAUUACUCUCUGAAAAUGGCACAAAGAAUCUUUGCAGUGGCAUUUUAACAAGCCUCAAUGAUUUAGAAUCUGCACUGAUCUUGUUAUUUGACUGGACACAAUUAGUAUGAGGGAAGCAUGCUUGAGUGCUUGAGUUGUGAACUCUCAUGGUCUGACCCAUUAAGAGACUUUGCUAUGUACUGUACACUGCUGUACUGCAGGAAGAUAGGGCAUUCAUUAAUUUCAGUAGUAUCACUAGAAAGGAAGGACAAGAGGUGGAAGGCAGUCAGGUGAUGCGGCCUCCCCUCCUCCCCCUUUUUGCUGUGACUUUUAUCUGUUCUAUUUAUGUAAAAUCCAGGAAUAGUCAGCUGGUGAGUAAUAUUGUUGUAGUCAGAAUAAAAGAGGAAAGAUGAAUAGACACCCUUUAUAGAAGAGCUAGUUUAUAUAGCAGAGAAACCGAAUCAUAAUAUGAUAUUGUGAAUAUGGAGAGGAAACUGUUUUGAAUAAAUAAGAACUGUCCUCCCCUCUCUCACUCUAUUCAAACUUUGCUGUGCUUUUUUAGAGCUUGGAGGGUUUGUUUCCCCCUCUUUUUCUUUCUUUUUUGUUUUUGGAACUUGACUGGAACUGGACAUGUCAAAAUGUACCAAGAGAUAUUGUUUACUUGUUUCACUAUUAGGACCAAAAAAGUCAGAUGUAAUAACGUCAUGUGAUUUCCAACCCAUUUCUGGGAUUUCAGAACUCCAGAAAGUGAGGUUCAGUGUUUUGUCUCUUGGUGUACUGAGACCAUGGCUUAUCAAGCUGUCUCACUGUUACCAUGUUCUCUUCAGCUCUUGUCUGCCUAUAUGUAACUCUUUUCUGUAAUGCUUAGGUCAUUGCCUCUUUGUGACAGUGUCUUUCUGUUUGUUAUUUGUACAACAUCAAGUCCAAUGAAAUCCUAAUUUAUGACUUCGGCCCCAGGGUACCAGCUCCUAGGUACCAGAACUCUUGGAUGCUUGUCCAAACUGAACCCAAACAAGCAGUCAGUGCAGAUUUAUAAAUUCCAUUAUUAUAUUCUCAUUGCUUUACUUACAGCUUCCUAGUACAUUAAACCUCACAAAAAAUCCUUCUCAUAAUUCCACUCCCAUUUUACAGCAAUUUGAUGAGCAUUGCAAAGCUUCUAAUAGACAUGCAGCCUUCAGACUUCAUUGAAUUUACUUUUGAUUUAGACAGGUAUAAAUCUGAUCAUAAUCAGGCCUAAUAAGCAUCCUGCAUUAUCCAGGUACUCCUUGUUGCAUGUUAAAAGAGAUAGGCAUGGCUUAGAAACACAAGGUAAGCACCAACACUGCAAAAUAUCUGUAUGGGAGAGGAAGCAGGUUUUGCACUGGUGCUACUUCUCAUCCCUGGCACAAAUAGGUGGGAGGAGAUGAAACAAGCCAAUGAAAGGCCUUAAUUAUGCCCCAUCAGCACACUUGUAGCAUUGAAAAGUUCUUACUGUAUACAAGCAAUUGGACCUAGAUGCAAAGCUAAGUGGUCCUUUCCCAUUCCAUGUCCUGGGUCAUGACAUUUAGCUCCCUGCAACAGAGACAAAUUCAUGUAAUCAAAUUAAAAAACCUCAUGAAUCUCCACCUUAAAACUAGUCAUGUUUUUGCUCCCAUUCAUAACUCAUAAAUUUAUCAAGCAUUAUCUUUAAUACUAGCUGUUUUUUUUUUAUUUAAAAAACACUCUCGUCUGAUGGAUAGGAACCUUUUAUUUUCCAUCCCAAAUUAAUUCGUAGCUACUGCAUAAGCAUUUGCCAAUAUUGCCUUUUAGCUUUUAAUAGCUCUUCUCCCUGAUACAUACCCCCAGGUACACUUAAAAGAGCAAUUUUAUCCCUUGUUGGCCUCUGAUCAUUAGGUUAAAUGACCCAAGCACUUCAGAGUCCUCUUGUAAGCUUAGUGACUUUUCUACCUAUAUUGUACGAGUGAGGUCUCAAAAGUACUUUGUACAAUGGCACUAAUACUUCUCUGUCUCUUGGACAUGCAUUGAUUUGUCCCAAGAUUGUGUUUGUUGUUUUUUUUAAUAGCUGCAUCACAUUAGAGGAUGGUAGAACAUGUCUUCAUAACAGUAGUUGCAAGCCCCAACCAGGAUGGCUUCAGUCACAGCCACCCACCAGUAUUGCUUGUAUUCUCCAAACCCAGAAGUAUAUCAGUGAAGGUGCACUGGGGCUGUUCCCAGUGGCUACUCUCAAAUACACCAGAAACUGAGGUAUUCAGAGCAGUCAGAUAGGAACACCCCAGAUCAUCUUCACCCUGCAUUUCUCAAGUUGAGCAGGUAUGUGUUUGUGUGCCUGCAACUGUUCCAGCCAGGACAUGUCACCACCAUGUGUAGAUAUAUCUGUAGUCUUUCUUCUUCUAUGGGUCUAAGUGAGGAAUCUUCAGCUACUAGUAGAAAUUCUUGCUAUUAAUCCUUAAUGAUCUUGCAUUUUAUACUCCAACAUUUCUUCCAUUUCUGUUACUCCAGUCUUCAGGUCAUCCAGUUUUAUCUGUAUGAUAUAUAUCCCAGUCCUCUUCAUUGACAACACCUACCAGUUUUGGAUCAUCAACAAAUUUCAUCAGCACAUUCCAACUUUUUGUCCCAAAGUCAUUAUGUGCCCAGUGCAUGGGGUAUUUUUGACCAUGCUGUACAGACCUUACUGCGCGACAGCAUUACGGUUAAUGUCCACUAACACUGUCACUGUAGC